rfam:TPA: Bos taurus chromosome 4, whole genome shotgun sequence.
GUAGCCAUGGCUGAGUGGUUAAGGCUAUUGACUAGAAACCCAUUGGGGUUUCCUUGCACAGGUUUGAAUUCUGCUGACUAUA